rnacentral:rRNA from 1 species
UACGUAGGUGACAAGCGUUGUCCGGAUUUACUGGGCGUAAAGAGCGCGCAGGCGGUCGAUCAAGUCGAGUGUGAAAGCCCCCGGCUCAACUGGGGAGGGCCAUUCGAUACUGAUCGACUCGAAGGCAGGAGAGGGUAGUGGAAUUCCCGGUGUAGUGGUGAAAUGCGUAGAUAUCGGGAGGAACACCAGUGGCGAAGGCGACUACCUGGCCUGUUCUUGACGCUGAGGCGCGAAAGCUAGGGGAGCAAACAGGG